GACGAACCGUGCGAACGUUAUUCGGAAUCACUGGGCUUAAAGGGCGCGUAGGCGGGCAACCAAGUCCGGGGUGAAAUCCUCCAGCUCAACUGGAGAAGUGCCUCGGAUACUGGCUGCCUCGAGGAGUGUAGGGGCAUCUGGAACUAGCGGUGGAGCGGUGAAAUGCGUUGAUAUCGCUAGGAACUCCGGUGGCGAAGGCGAGGUGCUGGACCCUUUCUGACGCUGAGGCGCGAAAGCCAGGGGAGCGAACGGG
rnacentral:rRNA from 1 species